rnacentral:rRNA from 1 species
CCGUGGAGCUUUACUGUAGCCUGAUAUUGAAUUUUGGUACAGUUUGUACAGGAUAGGCGGGAGCCAUUGAAACCGGAGCGCUAGCUUCGGUGGAGGCGCUGGUGGGAUACCGCCCUGACUGUAUUGAAAUUCUAACCUAUGGGUCUUAUCGACCCGGGAGACAGUGUCAGGUGGGCAGUUUGACUGGGGCGGUCGCCUCCUAAAGUGUAACGGAGGCGCCCAAAGGUUCCCUCAGAAUGGUUGGAAAUCAUUCGUAGAGUGCAAAGGCAUAAGGGAGCUUGACUGCGAGACAUACAAGUCGAGCAGGGACGAAAGUCGGGCUUAGUGAUCCGGUGGUUCCGCAUGGAAGGGCCAUCGCUCAACGGAUAAAAGCUACCCCGGGGAUAACAGGCUUAUCUCCCCCAAGAGUCCACAUCGACGGGGAGGUUUGGCACCUCGAUGUCGGCUCAUCGCAUCCUGGGGCUGUAGUCGGUCCCAAGGGUUGGGCUGUUCGCCCAUUAAAGCGGUACGCGAGCUGGGUUCAGAACGUCGUGAGACAGUUCGGUCCCUAU